rnacentral:rRNA from 1 species
ACGGGUGAGUAACGGUUUUCCCACCCUGCCCAUCACUUGGGAAUAACCUUGCGAAAUUAAGAUUAAUGCCCAAUGACAUUUAUUGAAGGGCAUUUGAAAUGAAUUAAGAUUUAUCCGGUGAUGGAUGGGGAUGCGUUUGAUUUAGCUUGUUGGCGGGGUAACGCCCCACCAAGGCGACGAUCAGUAGGGGUUCUGAGAGGAAGGUCCCCCACAUUGGAAUUGAGACACGGUCCAAACUCCUACGGGAGGCAGCAGUGGGGAAUAUUGCACAAUGGGGGAAACCCUGAUGCAGCAACGCCGCGUGAGUGAAGAAGUAUUUCGGUAUGUAAAGCUCUAUCAGCAGGGAAGAUAAUGACGGUACCUGACUAAGAAGCCCCGGCUAACUACGUGCCAGCAGCCGCGGUAAUACGUAGGGGGCAAGCGUUAUCCGGAUUUACUGGGUGUAAAGGGAGCGCAGGCGGCAGGGCAAGUCAGAUGUGAAAUACUGGGGCUCAACCCCGGGACUGCAUUUGAAACUGUCCGGCUAGAGUGCAGGAGAGGCAGGCGGAAUUCCUAGUGUAGCGGUGAAAUGCGUAGAUAUUAGGAGGAACACCAGUGGCGAAGGCGGCCUGCUGGACUGUAACUGACGCUGAGGCUCGAAAGCGUGGGGAGCAAACAGGAUUAGAUACCCUGGUAGUCCACGCCGUAAACGAUGAUUACUAGGUGUUGGUGGAUAUGAUCCAUCGGUGCCGCAGCAAACGCA